rnacentral:rRNA from 1 species
CCUACGGGAGGCAGCAGUGGGGAAUAUUGCACAAUGGGGGAAACCCUGAUGCAGCGACGCCGCGUGAGUGAAGAAGUAUUUCGGUACGUAAAGCUCUAUCAGCAGGGAAGAAAAUGACGGUACCUGACUAAGAAGCACCGGCUAACUACGUGCCAGCAGCCGCGGUAAUACGUAGGGGGCAAGCGUUAUCCGGAUUUACGGGGUGUAAAGGGAGCGUAGACGGCAGCGCAAGUCUGGAGUGAAAUCCCAUGGCUUAACCAUGGAACUGCUUUGGAAACUGUGCAGCUAGAGUGCAGGAGAGGUAAGCGGAAUUUCUGGUGUAGCGGUGAAAUGCGUAGAUAUUAGGAGGAACACCAGUGGCGAAGGCGGCUUACUGGACUGUAACUGACGUUGAGGCUCGAAAGCGUGGGGAGCAAACAGGAUUAGAUACCCGAGUAGUC